UACAGAGGGGGCAAGCGUUGUUCGGAAUUACUGGGCGUGAAGGGCGCGUAGGCGGCCUUCUAAGUCGAACGUGAAAUCCCCGGGCUCAACCCGGGAACUGCGUCCGAUACUGGAAGGCUUGAAUCCGGGAGAGGGAUGCGGAAUUCCAGGUGUAGCGGUGAAAUGCGUAGAUAUCUGGAGGAACACCGGUGGCGAAGGCGGCAUCCUGGACCGGCAUUGACGCUGAGGCGCGAAAGCCAGGGGAGCAAACGGG
rnacentral:rRNA from 1 species